CAAUCUCGUUCCCCGAGCCUGCGAUCCUCGGGAAGGAACGUGAGGCUCUGGGAUAAUCCGUUGCCGGAAGCCAGGAAUCCUGGCUAAGAUUGAACUGCGCAUUCCAUUUCAACGGCCAAUUUCGGCCAAUCAGAUUCCUCCCUGAAACGGAUUAUCCCAGAGCCUCGCGUUCCUUCCCGAGGAUCGCAGGCUCGGGGAACGAGAUUGGUUGGCAAAUUAAUAAAAAAAACUUGUAAGUGAUGUUAACUUGUGGUUUUAAUUCAGCUAUUCACUUA